rnacentral:lncRNA from 1 species
ACUCUUUCAUAUGACUACUAACUUUUCUUUUCUUUGCCUUUUCUCAGCUUAUUCGCACUCCUCUGGUUAUACUAACCUGUACUUCUGACUACGGAUCUUCCUUUCUCUUUGAUGCUUCUCGGCUUAAUAACUCUACGGAAAUACUAGAUGACUUGGCUAUCACGUUCUCUCUCUCUACUUACUUUCGAUGUUAUAUUGUGACACAUCACAAUGAAACAGACAUGCCCUGAAAUUGCACUCAGCUUACAGAACUUGACCUCUAUGCCAUGUUCUCUGAAAAUCUACAACAUUUCGUAGAUAACGGGCAUGCUUCUCUGUUUCUCUAAACUUUUCUACGAUUUUGCUGCGCACUCUGAUCCUUGCCCGCUUUUCUUCUUCUUUACUAUACUGGCUUCUUC